rnacentral:rRNA from 1 species
GACGAACGCUGGCGGCGUGCUUAACACAUGCAAGUCGAACGGUGAAGCGUAUGUAGGUUUGGUGGGUGUGGAUGAGUGGCGAACGGGUGAGUAAAACGUGAGUAACCUGUCCCUGUGUUGUGGAUAACCGCAUGAAAGUGUGGGGAAUACGGGAGAUUUGGGGUCUGUCGCAUGAUGGGUCUGGGAAAGAUAUUGUUUCGGGGGGGGAUGGGUUCGCGGCCUAUCAGCUUGUUGGUGGGGUGAUGGCCUACCAAGGCGGUGACGGGUAGCCGGCCUGAGAGGGUGGACGGUCACACUGGGACUGAGACACGGCCCCGACUCCUAGUGGAGGCAGCAGUGAGAGAUAUGGCACAAUGGUCGCCAGCCUGAUGCAGCGACGCCGCGUAAGGGCUGCAGCCCUUCGGGUUGUGAACCUCUUUCGCCAGUCAAUCAUUCCUGCCUCGUUUGUGGGUGGGUUGACGGUAGCUGGAUAAGAAGCGCCGGCUAACUACGUG